rnacentral:tRNA from 1 species
GGGGAUAUAGCUCAGUGGUAGAGUACUAGCCUAGUAUGUUUGAGACUCUGGGUUCAAUUCCUAAUACCACUA